rnacentral:rRNA from 1 species
CCCGUUCGGUAGUGUUGCGGUGUUCGGCGAUGCAUUUGCGUACGGAGUGCGCCGAGUCGUGUGCUGGCGUCUGUCGAAGCUGCUCGAGAGGACAUGACUUUCGCGAGUUGUGAAACCUUGUGCGGUGGAGGUUGAUUGCCGGUGCGCGGUUUCGUGGAAGUGCGGGUUUUUCGCGCGUUUGCAUGCCGAUUGGGCCGGUUCGUGUUGCACGCUUGCGUGCAGCGCUUGUGGGUUUAGUCGGUGUGCGGGCGUGCUCUGCGCUCUUCUCGGUGUAUAGUCAAUGACCCAUUUGACCCGUCUUGAAACACGGACCAAGGAGUUUAUGGUAUACGCGAGUCAUUGGGUUCGCGAAACCCAAAGGCGUAAUGAAAGUGAGACCUUACUGGUUUGAAUGUGAGCGGUUGGUGUUUCGACGCCGUCCGCGCAACAUUGCCCCGUUUCGAGGACUUGUCCUGUUGCGGAGGUUGAGCGUAUGCUAUGAGACCCGAAAGAUGGUGAACUAUGCCUGUACAGGAUGAAGCCAGAGGAAACUCUGGUGGAAGUCCGAAGCGGUUCUGACGUGCAAAUCGAUCGUCUGAUAUUGGUAUAGGGGCGCAAGACUAAUCGAACCAUCUAGUAGCUGG